rnacentral:rRNA from 1 species
AGAGUUUGAUCAUGGCUCAGGAUGAACGUUGGCGGCGGGUUUGACACAUGCAAGUCGAACGGUAGAGGGGAGCUUGCUCCCCUUGAGAGUGGCGAACGGCUGAGUAACACGUAGGAACGUACCCCACAGACAGGGAUAACAGACCGAAAGGCCUGCUAAUACCUGAUAUAUCCUUCGGGAGGAAAUGGUCCGCCGCUGUGGGAGCGGCCUGCGGCGUAUUAGGUUGUAGGUGAGGUAACGGCUCACCUAGCCAGUGAUGCGUAGCUGGUCUGAGAGGAUGAUCAGCCAGACUGGGACUGAGACACGGCCCAGACUCCUACGGGAGGCAGCAGUUCAGAAUCUUGCACAAUGGGCGAAAGCCUGAUGCAGCCAUGCCGCGUGAGCGAAGAAGGCCCUCGGGUCGUAAAGCUCUGUCAGAGGGGAAGAUAAUGACGGUACCCUCAAAGGAAGCAACGGCUAAUUACGUGCCAGCAGCCGCGGUAAUACGUAAGUUGCGAACGUUAUCCGGAAUCACUGGGCGUAAAGCGUUCGUAGGCGGCAUGGAAAGUAGGAUUUGAAAUCCCGGGGCUCAACUCCGGAUCCGGAUCCUAAACUUCCAAGCUAGAACAGAUCAGAGGGCAGAGGAAUUCCCGGUGUAGCGGUAAUAUGCACAGAUAUCGGGAGGAACACCAGUGGCGAAGGC